GUAGCCUAUUUCAAAGUCUAAAGGAACACAGUGAUUUCCAGGAUAUAUUAAGCUUAAGUAGGAAUUGAAAGCUCUGAAACUGACAUGUUGGCAAUGAGUUAUCAGUGAAGGACAGGAGCAAAGAAUUCAUUAGAUCUGGCUCUGAGUGAGCAACAAUUGUUUGGAGACCUUUGCAGGGGAGGGCUGUAUAGUAUAGCCUAAAAGAUGUAUGCAUAAUAGAUGUAUGCAUAAUUUUAUAGCUGGGAAGACAUGAAGGCAAAGAAGGUCAAAGUAGCAAGAAAUACUCGGGGCCUGGCUGGUAUUGGAGUGUUCGGAGGGUGGUGAGAACUGGUGACAAGCUGAAGAAAUGAGACAAAGAUGCCUAGGUUUAAGGUACUACUAGCUUUGGAAUAUAGAAGUGAACAAAGUCUUUAUCUUCAUGGAGCUGGAGUUCUGGAGAGACAAAAUGAACAAAUAAUCAGAUCCAGUUUCCUUCAACAGGAGCAACCAUUGUCACUUGUUUCUCAUGCACCUUCGAGAGAUCCUACAAGGAUAUGCAAGCAUUUAAGUGCACGUCCAUGCACAUCCACAAACUCACAGCCUGUUUCCACCUUGAUCUUUUCACUCAGUUUAUCUUGGAGGUUGUUGCUAAAUUUAUUCCUAGGUAUUUCAUUAGACAACUCCAUAUGCACUCAUACUUUUUCUCUAUUUUUUUUUCUAUGAUAAUCUAUUUAAAAUUUCUUUUUGAGGUCACAGUUGCAAAUUUAUAUAUUUUCCUAGAAAAUUAUCCACUUCAUCUAUAUUACUCUCAUGUUUAUUUGCAAAGAGUUGAGGAAAGAAAUAAUUUAUGAUCCUUUCGGUUUCAUCUGUCUGUGGUUAUUUGCCUAUGCUCAUAUCUAAUUCUGUGGACUGAAUAGAUUAGCUAAUGCUAUAUCUAUUUUAUUGGGGGUUUUUUCCCUCCAAUGAAGCAGCUCUUGGAUUUAUGAGGACUACCUUUUCUGAUUCUUCUCAAAAUUAUAAUUUCUUUUAUUUUUGUUAAUUUUUCUUUUGUUCUCUUGGGUUUAUUUUAUUAUUCUUUUUCAAAUAUCUGCAUUA